GGCAACUUACUGGCAAGCCAUCCAUCCAUGCUCUCUUUUUUAUUACAACUCUAAGAGGUGAAGCCAAUGCCAUUGAUCAAUAUGUUCAUAAGUACUACUUUGUUGAGAAAUUCGUAGCUACUUAUGCUGACAACCUAGCUUUAGAGGAAAAGCAACAGUGGGACACAGUGGAUCCAGGAUUCAAAUUGUGUGCACCAGUUCAGAACAGAGCACCAGGUAGGCCAAGAAAGCAAAUGAUCAUGGCUAGUAGUGAAGGAAUGGGGCUUGGUGCUAGGAAGAGAAAGUGCAAGAGGUGUGGGAGAUUUGGACACAUUUCCAAACACUACAAAGUAUCAGUUGAUGCUGCAUUUGGAGAGGAGGAUGAACAUUUGGGGAGCAGAAAAUGUUGAUGAGGCUGCAACAGAACCACUGAACAAUGAGGAAAAUGCAAAUGCUGAUGGAACAGAUGAUGAUGAUGAUGAUGGAGUUGAGCAGCCAUCUACACAAGUUGAAGCUAUUAUACCGAGCCCCAGGAAAAAUUACAAAAAGACUAGCUGAUAGAGGGGGCUUCUCCAAGAGCAGCUAAGUAUAUACCAGGCCAUGCAGCAAUAGUUGAACCCUGUGCUCAUGCUCAAGCUCCAGCUCCAGCAAAGAACACCAGAUCUAAGGCAAGGCUGUUACCCAACCCAGCAAGAAACACCAGGAGCAAAUCAUUGAAGUUCUAAUUGAUCCUUGUCAUCUUGAACUUAAUAAUGUGAUGUACACUUGGCUCUUGAAUGUGCACUGUCAUGUUGUGAUGUUGAACUACUUUGUUAUGUCGUCGUCUUGUCAUCUUGAAUAACUUUGUUAUGU